GUGGGGAAUAUUGGACAAUGGGCGAAAGCCUGAUCCAGCCAUGCCGCGUGUGUGAAGAAGGCCUUUUGGUUGUAAAGCACUUUAAGCGAGGAGGAGGCUACCGAGAUUAAUACUCUUGGAUAGUGGACGUUACUCGCAGAAUAAGCACCGGCUAACUCUGUGCCAGCAGCCGCGGUAAUACAGAGGGUGCGAGCGUUAAUCGGAUUUACUGGGCGUAAAGCGUGCGUAGGCGGCUUUUUAAGUCGGAUGUGAAAUCCCUGAGCUUAACUUAGGAAUUGCAUUCGAUACUGGGAAGCUAGAGUAUGGGAGAGGAUGGUAGAAUUCCAGGUGUAGCGGUGAAAUGCGUAGAGAUCUGGAGGAAUACCGAUGGCGAAGGCAGCCAUCUGGCCUAAUACUGACGCUGAGGUACGAAAGCAUGGGGAGCAAACAGGAUUAGAAACCCUUGUAGUCC
rnacentral:rRNA from 1 species